CACAAUUAGCACCAUUAGACGAGGCGUUGAAGCUUCCAAUGCACGAUUAGUACGCAUAUCUAUAAUACGCAUGAUUAGCACUAUUAGACUGAAAUUGCAAUAGCUCUAGAAGGCAAUUGACAACAACUUGAGCAACAGGUUUGGAGUGACCGUAUUACAAAAUAAACCAUCUACAGUGGACUUGGAAGUGGCAGUGAAUGGAAUAUUGAAUAAUAUUGAUCGAGGCGUUGAAGUUUCAAUUCAAUCAUGGAGGAUGAUAGCUCUAAUUUGGGACUGUAUUGGGCGAGGAUAGCAAUGACAAUGACAUGGCUACAUGUUAAUUCGCUUUCCGCAUGAUAAUAUUUUCAAGGUGGAAAUGAGAGUUGUGUUAAAGGGUUUGCGUGUUGCAUGGGGGAUAGGAUUGCGAUAGGUUGAGGUAGACUGUGAUAAUGCACUUCUAGUUGAAUCAUUGUUGGCUGGUGGAUCUGUUAAUAGCAGAAUGGUGGAGCUACAUUUGAUUCAUGGUAUCUUUAAUCGUAAGUGAAAGGUGCCAUGUUCCUAGAUCCCAAAACGCGGUUGCUGGUCAUAGGGCAAGACUUG
rnacentral:lncRNA from 1 species